rnacentral:rRNA from 1 species
CCCAGACUCCUACGGGAGGCAGCAGUGGGGAAUAUUGGACAAUGGGCGAAAGCCUGAUCCAGCAAUGCCGCGUGAGUGAUGAAGGCCUUAGGGUUGUAAAGCUCUUUUACCAGGGAUGAUAAUGACAGUACCUGGAGAAUAAGCUCCGGCUAACUCCGUGCCAGCAGCCGCGGUAAUACGGAGGGAGCUAGCGUUGUUCGGAAUUACUGGGCGUAAAGCGCGCGUAGGCGGUCUAUUAAGUCAGGGGUGAAAUCCCGGGGCUCAACCCCGGAACUGCCCUUGAAACUGCUAGACUAGAAUCUUGGAGAGGUCAGUGGAAUUCCGAGUGUAGAGGUGAAAUUCGUAGAUAUUCGGAAGAACACCAGUGGCGAAGGCGACUGACUGGACAAGUAUUGACGCUGAGGUGCGAAAGUGUGGGGAGCAAACAGGAUUAGAUACCCUGGUAGUCCACACCGUAAACGAUGAUAACUAGCUGUCCGGGUUCACAGAACUUGGGUGGCGCAGCUAACGCAUUAAGUUAUCCGCCUGGGGAGUACGGUCGCAAGAUUAAAACUCAAAGGAAUUGACGGGGGCCUGCACAAGCGGUGGAGCAUGUGGUUUAAUUCGAAGCAACGCGCAGAACCUUACCAGCGUUUGACAUCCCGAUCGCGAUUAGAGGAGACUCUUUUCUUCAGUUCGGCUGGAUCGGUGACAGGUGCUGCAUGGCUGUCGUCAGCUCGUGUCGUGAGAUGUUGGGUUAAGUCCCGCAACGAGCGCAACCCUCAUCCUUAGUUGCCAUCAUUUAGUUGGGCACUUUAAGGAAACUGCCGGUGAUAAGCCGGAGGAAGGUGGGGAUGACGUCAAGUCCUCAUGGCCCUUACACGCUGGGCUACACACGUGCUACAAUGGCGGUGACAGUGGGCAGCUAGUUCGCAAGAACAUGCUAAUCUCUAAAAACCGUCUCAGUUCGGAUUGUUCUCUGCAACUCGAGAGCAUGAAGGCGGAAUCGCUAGUAAUCGCGGAUCAGCAUGCCGCGGUGAAUACGUUCCCAGGCCUUGUACACACCGCCCGUCACACCAUGGGAGUUGGUUUCACCCGAAGGUAGUGCGCUAACUCGCAAGAGAGGCAGCUAAC